rnacentral:rRNA from 1 species
GAUGAACGCUGGCGGCGUGCCUAACACAUGCAAGUCGAGCGAAGCAUUUUAAAGGAAGUUUUCGGAUGGAAUUUGAAAUGACUGAGCGGCGGACGGGUGAGUAACGCGUGGGUAACCUGCCUCAUACAGGGGGAUAACAGUUAGAAAUGACUGCUAAUACCGCAUAUGCCUUAGAACCACAUGGUUCAAAAGGGAAAGGAGCAAUCCGCUGAUAGAUGGGCUUGCGUCUGAUUAGCUAGUUGGUGGGGUAACGGCCUACCAAGGCAACGAUCAGUAGCCGAACUGAGAGGUUGAACGGCCACAUUGGGACUGAGAUACGGCCCAG